UGGCUUCCAUCUGGAAGAAUCUGGAGGACAGGUGCUGCAUGGCUGUCGUCAGCUCGUGUCGUGAGAUGUGGGUUAAGUCCCGCAACGAGCGCAACCCUUGCCUUAGUUGCCAGCAGUUCGGCUGGGCACUCUAAAGGGACUGCCGGUGUUAAACCGGAGGAAGGUGGGGAUGACGUCAAGUCCUCAUGGCCUUUAUGACCAGGGCUACACACGUACUACAAUGGCCGAUACAAAGGGCAGCGACACUGCGAGGUGAAGCCAAUCCCGUAAAAUCGGUCUCAGUCCGGAUUGGAGUCUGCAACUCGACUCCAUGAAGUUGGAAUCGCUAGUAAUCGUGGAUCAGCAUGCCACGGUGAAUACGUUCCCGGGCCUU
rnacentral:rRNA from 1 species